CGUCAGCUCGUGUUGUGAAAUGUUGGGUUAAGUCCCGCAACGAGCGCAACCCUUAUCCUUUGUUGCCAGCGGUCCGGCCGGGAACUCAAAGGAGACUGCCAGUGAUAAACUGGAGGAAGGUGGGGAUGACGUCAAGUCAUCAUGGCCCUUACGACCAGGGCUACACACGUGCUACAAUGGCGCAUACAAAGAGAAGCGACCUCGCGAGAGCAAGCGGACCUCAUAAAGUGCGUCGUAGUCCGGAUUGGAGUCUGCAACUCGACUCCAUGAAGUCGGAAUCGCUAGUAAUCGUGGAUCAGAAUGCCACGGUGAAUACGUUCCCGGGCCUUGUACACACCGCCCGUCACACCAUGGGAGUGGGUUGCAAAAGAAGUAGGUAGCUUAACC
rnacentral:rRNA from 1 species